UUAGUGGGGAAUAACUGUUGGAAACGACAGCUAAUACCGCAUAAUAUUGCUGGAUAAUUUCCAGUAAUGAAAGGAGCUUUCAAGCUCCGCUGAUUGAUGAGGAUGCGGCGCAUUAGCUAGUUGGUAGGGUAAUGGCCUACCAAGGCAAUGAUGCGUAGCCGAUCUGAGAGGAUGAACGGCCACAUUGGGACUGAGACACGGCCCAAACUUCUACGGAAGGCAGCAGUAGGGAAUUUUUCACAAUGGGCGAAAGCCUGAUGGAGCAAUGCCGCGUGACUGAUGAAGGUCUUCGGAUUGUAAAGGUCUGUUGUAAGGGAAGAAAUGGUAAAACAGGAAAUGGUUUUAUCUAUGACGGUACCUUACCAGAAAGCCACGGCUAANUAUGUGCCA
rnacentral:rRNA from 1 species